AGCUUUGUGCAGUGACAGUAUUGUAGCCAAUGAGGCUUAUCCAAUUUGCAAUUAUUGUGAAUUGAAAAUUUUUCUCAAUACUUCACCAUGAUGACUUGAAAUAUAGUCAGCCCUGGCAAUUUUUGACAGUCUCUACAGUGA